UAUGGAGAAGGAUGGGAUAUGGGAACAGGUCUUGCCCCUUAUGAUAAGGCCAAGAAGGACAAUGCCUACCAGAUGCCAAAUAUUGGUUUCUUUAAUGACAAUCAGCGCGAUGCUGUCAAAGGGGGAGAAGUUUAUGGUGCUAUCAAGUCAGGUUUUGUCAGUGGUGCUGCGACAGAGCCAAUUCUAGCUAAAGCAAUCCUAGGAAGUCGUGAAUUAGGAAGCUAUACACAUCCAAAUCAGGUGCUUAACUAUGUAGAAGCCCAUGACAAUUACAAUCUUCACGAUUUAUUGGCAACCCUUCAUCCAGACCAAAGUUCAGAGCAAAUCAUGCGCAAGGUCGAAACUGCCACAGCCAUGAAUCUGCUCAUGCAGGGGAUGGCCUUUAUGGAAAUCGGUCAAGAAUUUGGUCGUACCAAACUGGUUGCGACUGGUGAAAAUGGUGAGUUGACCCAUGAUGAUAGAGAGCGUGCGAUGAAUAGCUAUAAUGCUCCUGACAGUGUGAACCAAGUGAACUGGAACUUGAUUAAUGAGCGUCAAGACAGUAUUGAGUUUAUCCGUCAAGUCAUCCGAUUGAAGACAAAAACUGGUGCCUUUUCUUACUCUAGCUAUGAUGAAAUUUACCAUCAUGUCUUUGUGCAUUCUGCGAUUGAACAUAGCGGCUGCCUUAUCUAUGAAGUUCACGGCAAAGAACACCUCUUGGUAGUUGUGAAUGCUAAAUCAGAACCCUAUCAAUUUGAAAAUGCAGGAAAUUUAGCUAUGUUGGUAACCAACAGUCGCUCAAAAGAAGAUAAUGUUUUAAAUGAUAUUAGUCUAGCUGUCUUGAGUGUUUUAUAAAUACCAUCUAUCUCGCUAUUUUUAGACAGAAAAAUUCCCAGUUAUGAGUAUUGGUAAAAAAUCCAUUCAUUGAAAUUGAAAGAAUAGAAAGAACCUGGCUAACAGCUCACUUGUAUAGAAAAUUUGAUAAAUAUUUUCACGAAACAAGACCUCCUAUCAAAGUUUUUGAACAUUUGAUAGGAGGUCUUGUUAUUAUGAAGACUUUUACCUAGACUUUGUUUCAGCAAUCUAUGACAGUUAUAGUAGGCUGAAAUUGGAAUAGCACACCCUUGUUUCUAAAACAUUGUGAGAAAUUGGUUUGGCUGUCCCCAACCAAAUUGUUCAGUUUUUUUAUUUUACUAUAGAUGAUACUCAUUCACGCUCUUCGAAAAUUUCUUCAAACCACAUUAGCCUCUCCUUGACGUAGUGGAUUUUUUUAUUUUUAUUGAGUAUACUUUGAAAAAUCAAGCUUGUGAAAAUAAUCUCAAAAAUUUUGCAAAAAGGGUUGUUAUUUUCUGAAAAUUUGGUAAAAUAUAUCUUAAUCAUUUUCAGGAGGACAAGAAUUUGACAAGAUAUCAGAAUUUAGUAAAUGGAAAAUGGAAAUCAUCUGAACAAGAAAUUACGAUUUAUUCACCAAUCAAUCAAGAAGAAUUGGGUACAGUUCCAGCCAUGACUCAGACUGAAGCUGAUGAGGCUAUGCAAGCUGCGCGUGCAGCCCUGCCAGCAUGGCGAGCUUUAUCAGCAGUUGAACGUGCGGCUUAUUUACAUAAAACAGCAGCUAUUUUAGAACGCGAUAAGGAAGAAAUUGGUACUAUCCUUGCCAAAGAAGUAGCAAAAGGGAUUAAAGCAGCAAUUGGAGAAGUAGUGCGUACAGCAGACUUGAUUCGUUAUGCUGCUGAGGAAGGUCUCCGUAUCACUGGACAAGCAAUGGAAGGUGGUGGUUUUGAGGCAGCAAGUAAAAACAAACUGGCUGUUGUCCGUCGUGAACCAGUUGGUAUCGUGCUAGCGAUUGCUCCCUUUAAUUAUCCAGUUAAUUUAUCUGCUUCUAAAAUUGCACCUGCCUUGAUUGCAGGGAAUGUGGUCAUGUUUAAGCCACCAACACAAGGUUCCAUUUCUGGACUCUUGUUGGCUAAAGCAUUUGAAGAAGCAGGGAUUCCGGCAGGUGUUUUCAACACCAUUACAGGUCGUGGUUCAGAAAUUGGGGAUUAUAUCAUUGAGCACAAAGAAGUCAACUUCAUCAACUUUACAGGUUCAACUCCUAUUGGAGAACGUAUUGGUCGUUUAGCUGGUAUGCGUCCUAUCAUGUUGGAACUUGGUGGGAAAGAUGCAGCUCUUGUACUAGAAGAUGCAGAUUUGGAACAUGCUGCCAAGCAAAUUGUUGCGGGAGCCUUUAGCUACUCAGGACAACGUUGCACGGCCAUUAAACGUGUCAUUGUUCUCGAAAGUGUAGCAGAUAAAUUAGCUACUUUGCUUCAGGAAGAAGUUUCUAAAUUAACAGUUGGUGAUCCAUUUGACAAUGCUGAUAUUACACCUGUUAUUGACAAUGCUUCAGCCGACUUCAUUUGGAGCUUGAUUGAGGAUGCACAAGAAAAAGAAGCUCAGGCUCUUACACCAAUCAAACGUGAGGGCAAUCUUCUCUGGCCAGUGCUUUUUGACCAAGUUACAAAAGAUAUGAAAGUGGCAUGGG
rnacentral:rRNA from 1 species